ACCUGAGGUAUGCACGGGUAUUGUUCUACUUACCUAUUACUCGUACUACUCAUUGAAAGAAAAGAAACAACAAUUUCUUUGUUCUCAUAACUUCCCAAUGUCUAGGAAUUAGGAAAAGUGAUAAUAUUGAAAUUAUAAAAGGAAAAACCCAAAACAUACCAUAAAUUUCUUUACCAAGAAUUAGGGUUACGAAUUGAACAAAGGGAGCAUACAAAAUUUUCUUACAGGUGUCCAUCAUGUGUAGAUUGGUUGCUAGUGAAGACGAUCUAGGCUAUGAAUUCGCCCGUCAUGAAAGCAUUCUUAAUGAAACUGACAGAAUGGAUCGAGAAAUACGUGCCGAAGUUGCUCUUUUGGAAGCAAGGGUUGUUGAGGUUGAAGCUCAGGUGAAAAAGCUUAUGUCCGCCGUUGUAUAUCUGCGAAGGCAGGUCUACGUCUGUGGCUUUGUCUGUCUGAUUCUGUCAAUUUGUGUUUGGUUUCUUUAUUCAAAGAAAUUCUGGUAUGAUUAGUUCACUCGUGUGUGUAGUAUGUUCUACUAAUGUAGUGAUUACCAUCUUGUAAUGUUAGACGAAUGAAAAUGCUAAGAUGGAUCAGUAUCAGUUUUACUUUAUAGAUAUUUCCCUUGUUUUGGAUUAUUUUUCUUUUCUCAUUCUCUUUUGGAAUGGUGAAUUAGUAUAUGUUGACAAAGUAAAAAUUACAAAGUGUCCAAACUAAAUAAGUAUUCUGGGUUAUGUUCUCUGUAUGAGUAAUGAUACCUUUUUUAGGCAUAGGAACACAUUUGAUAGAUCACAACUUUGUUGCAGAAAGUUUUCAGAACAAGAAGAGUCGAGGAAUAGAAUAACUACAAGACACAAUGCUAGAAAAAUGAAAUGAAAAUGACUAGGCCGGGCCUAAAAGAGGAAAAAGGGAACUUCUAGUAUAGAACGAAACAGAUAGAGAUACAGAAAUGAACCAUGGAAGUAUAUGAAUACCUAAAGAAGAUAACAGAGUAUGUAUGAAAAACGGGGCAUAGAGCCAAUAACGACGGAUUGGUGAUCUGAACCUGCCGUUCAUCUCUUAACCUGAUUGAUAUUUGACACAUUGUAUGAAAUGGGUCUAUUUUUUUGUUUGCUCCCGUGAUACUUUGCAGCAUGUUUAAAGGUGAUUUGAAUGGAGGUGGCGGUUUGACCGACCAGUCGAAAAUCGACAUCAAGAGAAUAGUAUUUCCCGUAUUGAGAAUGAUCCAGAGAGGAGGACCCGGAGAGGAUGAUCAGGUUGGUAGACAUAGAGAGGAUGACCUGGAAAGGAUGACCUGCUGUUGGUAUGUGAUCACGUUAUAAUAAAUGCAUGUCCGGAAAUAAUUUAAUCUUACGGGGUCACACGAAAUGA